rnacentral:rRNA from 1 species
UACGUAGGGUGCAAGCGUUGUCCGGAUUUACUGGGCGUAAAGAGCGCGUAGGCGGCUUGUUAAGUGUGAAGUGAAAUCUCCAGGGCUCAACCCGGAAACUGCUUUACAUACUGGCAAGCUGGAGUGAUGCAGAGGUUUGUGGAAUUCCUGGUGUAACGGUGAAAUGUGUUGAUAUCAGGAGGAACACCCAUGGCGAAGGCAGCAAACUGGGCAUCAACUGACGCUGAGGCGCGAAAGCGUGGGUAGCAAACAGG